GAUGAAGAACGUAGCGAAAUGCGAUAAGUAAUGUGAAUUGCAGAAUUCAGUGAAUCAUCGAAUCUUUGAACGCACCUUGCGCCUUUUGGUAUUCCGAAAGGCACACCUGUUUGAGCGUCAUGAAUACCUCAAUCUCCAUCUUUUCUUCGGAUUGAUGGGUGACUUGGAUGUUGAGCCCUGCUGGUAUGCUAUAUCAGCUGGCUUUAAACUUAUUAGCCGGCUCUGUACUGGAUCGGUUUGACUCGACGUGAUAAUAUUAUCGUUGAGGAUGCAUGCCUCAUGCAGCCGGAAAGUAUCAAAGCAGCUUCUAGCUUGCCUUUAGUGCACUUUUACAUUUUAGACCUCAGAUCAGGUGGGACUACCCGCUGAACUUAAGCAUAUCAAUAAGCGGAGGA
rnacentral:misc_RNA from 1 species